UGAGUAACGCGUGAGUAACCUGCCUUCAAGAGGGGGAUAACAUUCUGAAAAGAAUGCUAAUACCGCAUGAUAUAUCGGAACCACAUGGUUCUGAUAUCAAAGAUUUUAUCGCUUGAAGAUGGACUCGCGUCCGAUUAGUUAGUUGGUGAGGUAACGGCUCACCAAGACCGCGAUCGGUAGCCGGACUGAGAGGUUGAACGGCCACAUUGGGACUGAGACACGGCCCAGACUCCUACGGGAGGCAGCAUG
rnacentral:rRNA from 1 species